AUUGAACGCUGGCGGAAGGCCUAACACAUGCAAGUCGAACGAGUGGCGGACGGGUGAGUAAUGUCUGGGACACUGCCUGAUGGAGGGGGAUAACUACUGGAAACGGUAGCUACUACCGCAUACCCUCAGAUGUGCCCCGAUGGUAUUAGCUUGUUGGUGGGGUCACGGCUCACCAAGGCGCCGAUCCCUAGCUGGUCUGAGAGGAUGACCAGCCACACUGGAACUGAGACACGGCCCAGACUCCUACGGGAGGCAGCAGUGGGGAAUAUUGCACAAUGGGCGCAAGCCUGAGGCAGCCAUGCCGCGUGUAUGAAGAAGGCUUUCGGGUUGUAAAGUACUUUCAGCGUGGAGGCGUUACCCGCAGAAGAAGCACCGGCUAACGCCGUGCCAGCAGCCGCGGUAAUAC
rnacentral:rRNA from 1 species